GUCCACGCCGUAACGAUGGAUACUAGCUGUUGGGAGCAAUCUCAGUGGCUAAGCGAAAGUGAUAAGUAUCCCACCUGGGGAGUACGUUCGCAAGAAUGAACUCAAAGGAAUUGACGGGGCCCGCACAAGCGGUGGAGCAUGUGGUUUAAUUCGAUGAUACGCGAGGAACCUUACCAAGGCUUAAAUGUAGAUUGACCGGUUUGGAACAGAUCUUUCGCAAGACAAUUUACAAGGUGCUGCAUGGUUGUCGU
rnacentral:rRNA from 1 species